rnacentral:rRNA from 1 species
AAAUUGAAGAGUUUGAUCAUGGCUCAGAUUGAACGCUGGCGGCAGGCCUAACACAUGCAAGUCGAACGGUAACAGGAAGCAGCUUGCUGCUUUGCUGACGAGUGGCGGACGGGUGAGUAAUGUCUGGGAAACUGCCUGAUGGAGGGGGAUAACUACUGGAAACGGUGGCUAAUACCGCAUAACGUCGCAAGACCAAAGAGGGGGACCUUCGGGCCUCUUGCCAUCAGAUGUGCCCAGAUGGGAUUAGCUUGUUGGUGAGGUAACGGCUCACCAAGGCGACGAUCCCUAGCUGGUCUGAGAGGAUGACCAGCCACACUGGAACUGAGACACGGUCCAGACUCCUACGGGAGGCAGCAGUGGGGAAUAUUGCACAAUGGGCGCAAGCCUGAUGCAGCCAUGCCGCGUGUAUGAAGAAGGCCUUCGGGUUGUAAAGUACUUUCAGCGGGGAGGAAGGUGUUGUGGUUAAUAACCGCAGCAAUUGACGUUACCCGCAGAAGAAGCACCGGCUAACUCCGUGCCAGCAGCCGCGGUAAUACGGAGGGUGCAAGCGUUAAUCGGAAUUACUGGGCGUAAAGCGCACGCAGGCGGUCUGUCAAGUCGGAUGUGAAAUCCCCGGGCUCAACCUGGGAACUGCAUUCGAAACUGGCAGGCUUGAGUCUUGUAGAGGGGGGUAGAAUUCCAAGUGUAGCGGUGAAAUGCGUAGAGAUCUGGAGGAAUACCGGUGGCGAAGGCGGCCCCCUGGACAAAGACUGACGCUCAGGUGCGAAAGCGUGGGGAGCAAACAGGAUUAGAUACCCUGGUAGUCCACGCCGUAAACGAUGUCUACUUGGAGGUUGUGCCCUUGAGGCGUGGCUUCCGGAGCUAACGCGUUAAGUAGACCGCCUGGGGAGUACGGCCGCAAGGUUAAAACUCAAAUGAAUUGACGGGGGCCCGCACAAGCGGUGGAGCAUGUGGUUUAAUUCGAUGCAACGCGAAGAACCUUACCUGGUCUUGACAUCCACGGAAGAAUUCAGAGAUGGAUUUGUGCCUUCGGGAACCGUGAGACAGGUGCUGCAUGGCUGUCGUCAGCUCGUGUUGUGAAAUGUUGGGUUAAGUCCCGCAACGAGCGCAACCCUUAUCCUUUGUUGCCAGCGAUUCGGUCGGGAACUCAAAGGAGACUGCCAGUGAUAAACUGGAGGAAGGUGGGGAUGACGUCAAGUCAUCAUGGCCCUUACGACCAGGGCUACACACGUGCUACAAUGGCGCAUACAAAGAGAAGCGACCUCGCGAGAGCAAGCGGACCUCAUAAAGUGCGUCGUAGUCCGGAUUGGAGUCUGCAACUCGACUCCAUGAAGUCGGAAUCGCUAGUAAUCGUGGAUCAGAAUGCCACGGUGAAUACGUUCCCGGGCCUUGUACACACCGCCCGUCACACCAUGGGAGUGGGUUGCAAAAGAAGUAGGUAGCUUAACCUUCGGGAGGGCGCUUACCACUUUGUGAUUCAUGACUGGGGUGAAGUCGUAACAAGGUAACCGUAGGGGAACCUGCGGUUGGAUCACCUCCUUA